rnacentral:rRNA from 1 species
UACGUAGGGUGCUAGCGUUGUUCGGAAUUACUGGGCGUAAAGCGCACGUAGGCGGACUUUUAAGUCAGGUGUGAAAUCCCGGGGCUCAACCUCGGAACUGCAUUUGAAACUGGAAGUCUUGAGACCAGGAGAGGUUAGCGGAAUACCGAGUGUAGAGGUGAAAUUCGUAGAUAUUCGGUGGAACACCAGUGGCGAAGGCGGCUAACUGGACUGGUACUGACGCUGAGGUGCGAAAGUGUGGGGAGCAAACAGG